AGUGAACGCUGGCGGCAGGCCUAACACAUGCAAGUCGAACGGCAGCACAGUAAGAGCUUGCUCUUACGGGUGGCGAGUGGCGGAAGGGUGAGGAAUACAUCCGAACCUACUUUUUCGUGGGGGAUAACGUAGGGAAACUUACGCUAAUACCGCAUACGACCUACGGGUGAAAGCAGGGGAUCUUCGGACCUUGCGCGAUUGAAUGAGCCGAUGUCGGAUUAGCUAGUUGGCGGGGUAAAGGCCCACCAAGGCGACGAUCCGCAGCUGGUCUGAGAGGAUGAUCAGCCACACUGGAACUGAGACACGGUCCAGACUCCUACGGGAGGCAGCAGUGGGGAAUAUUGGACAAUGGGCGCAAGCCUGAUCCAGCCAUACCGCGUGGGUGAAGAAGGCCUUCGGGUUGUAAAGCCCUUUUGUUGGGAAAGAAAAGCAGCAGGUUAAUACCCCGCUGUUCUGACGGUACCGAAAGAAUAAGCACCGGCUAACUUCGUG
rnacentral:rRNA from 1 species